AUUCGUGUCACCAUGGUGAAUAUAUAUUUGUGUUUAUUUUUCUUCUGGUUACGCGAAACAGGCAGAAUUUUAUAUGUCAGCAUGAACAAGAUUGUCCAAGGAGCAACUGAAUCAUGUUGGAAGAUUUUUAAAACAUAUUGGCGGUAUGCUGUUUUCCUGCUGGAUGCCCGCAAUCUCAUUUGCUAAAUGUAUAUGCAACGCACACUGCCACUCGAAGGAUUUUCAUUAUUGAGCAAUUAUGUAGCAAAAACGCAGGGGAACCAUACAAGAUUUCGGAUUGCUCUUUGGGUGCGAUGAUUGUUGAGAGGCAAUGGCUACCGAAAUUUUCGCAACACAAAAUAACACGAACCACCGCUAUCAAGGUACAUACGUGUAUCGAAUAUAAUUUGGCGAAGACUCAAACAAUGGCAUCUUCACCCAACAUGACAUGUCAUCCACGUCGCUGUGAGCUAAAGAAAUUAUGUGAUUCACGAGCCGGGUUCCAACUUUCGCUAUCGCUAAAAUGCUAAAAUUGCCUUGCCUAAAUUUGAGUAUUU